rnacentral:lncRNA from 1 species
AUACUUGGGACAUACUGUGAGGAUGUUAUUAGCCAAAUGUCAGAAUUAGCCAAAUGCUUUCACAUCUUCCUGCAAUCUAGUCUUGUGUUUAUGAGAAUCCUUUCUGAAUUCUCUUGACUCACAGUGGACCUUUUUUUCCCUUAGAAAUCAAGUGUAGUUUUCCAACCACUGUAUUAUCUAUUUCAUAGCUGGGGAAACUGCUGAACCUCAGCAAAAUAAAUUGGUGACAGAAGCAAGAACUAAAAAUGAGAUCUCUCUCUGGGCCUCAUAUGCUAUUACAGCAUACAUUGCCUUGAAAACAUUUUUGGUAGCAAUAAAAGUAAAAUGAUUUUGGUGAAAAUGAGUCUAUACUGGAAAAUCAGGUUGAAUUCCCUUUGUUUAUAAGUGUCCUUAGGGAUAUGACCAAGACAAAUUAUUUCCUAUACAGUGAGGAAGGAAACAGAAGUCUAACAUACACUAAUCAAAAUGCUAUCUUCUUAUGUACCAAAUUCCAAUAUUAGAAUAUUAAGACUUUAAUGCCAGUGGCACGACUAUCAUUUUGGUAUUGACUGAUUUGUUUAAUCAACCAAUCUUUAUUUGGUGUCUAUUAUGGGUUACAAACUAUGCGAUAUCCUAAAAAUAACUACAAAUUAAGGGCUUAAUGCUUAGGUAUUUACUUUUUAAAAAAAUGUUAAGUAUUUGCUUUUUUUCUUUUUUAAUAUCUGUGCAGAAGGAGCACUGGGCUGUGACUCAGGAGAUCUGGGUUGUUUUCCGGCGGAUACAUUAUUCCUUUCUCAAGUGCGGACAAUGACGUCUGCCCUUGCUCCCCUGGGAAGGCCCCCUGGCAGGGUGAGAUGGGUGCUGAAACUGAGUGGCAAGAAAGAGCCAGCCAAUUAAGAGCUUUCCAGGGAAUGGGAAGAAACAGUCAAAAGGUUGGUCAGACUAGUGAGCCAGGGGAGCAGAGAAAACACUUGGGAAUGGAGGCGCAGUGUGGAGGAAGAGCUUCCACAGCAAUGUUUAAGAAAGCAAACGAGUAAAGCAGGGACACAGUUUUAUCUUUAAAACCUCGAACACUGCUAGGCACACAGUGUAUGCUGGAUCAGGAUUUGCUGAAUGAAUGACUGAAUGAACUGAAGGGCAUAACCCAGAAUUAAUACAAUGUCACUGAUUUUUUAGAAGAAUCAUACCGUCUGUUGGGCAGAGAAUGGACUGAAGGGAGGUGGACAGGAAGGAAACAAGGGGACUGAGUAGGAGCCGUGCAAGAAUUUGGGCAGGAAAUGACGGCAGGCUGGCCUGGGGCGGUGGUUGCAGACAGGAUGACACUCGAUGCGUCGCAUACGAAGUGAUUAGUGGCAGAAAGGACUCCUGAGGAAUUCUUGGGUUUUGUCUUAAUCUCCUGGAAGAUGGCAGCGCUUCUGACAGAUGUAGCCAGUAUUGGGCUUGGGUGAGGUACCAAGCAGGGAGGGUUUAGGACUGACCCUGGAGGGCUGUGACUUUAAAAGGUGAGUGUAGAAGAGCCAGCCAGGGGAGUGUGCUGUGGAGGAGCCAGGAAUGGAGACGGUCUGAAGUUGAAGAUUUGUGAUGACUACAAGGAACAAUCAGCCAAAAGUCUGCGAGAAUCAAGCUUUACAGGCAAAAUGACCUUACGGAUACCAAUGACCCCAAAACGUUUUGGAGUGAGAGAUACACGUGAACCAGCAAACCAUCUCUCCAAGGAGGAUGAGGAAGAUGCUUCGGGUCGAUGAAGGGAAGGAGACAAAUGGAAAGGUAAGAAGUGGGCAAGGGCAGGAGCCCCAUACAGCAGACUGGUGGGAGUAGGGGAAAGACAGUGAGGUGGGAAAAGCAAUCAGGGGCAGGAAGGAGGAAACCUCAGGAGCCGAACCCCAUCUUGGUUUCAUGCCAGUGCAGUCGCUCAGCCAGAAAGGCUGGCUGGGGUCACUGGGCUCCCAUCACCAACGUCCAAGCUCUGCUUCUGCCGAAGUGGCUCCCAGGCUCCUUGCCUCUCCCUGAAUUCUGCAUAUGCCCAUCAAAGGGCCUCGCUGUGUCUCCAGCUAACUCUCCCUUUGCAGUGUUGGAAGACCUCUGGAAAAAACAGUUCCUCAACUUGUAUUUUCAGCCCACCUAAUUAAUUCCUAAGAAAACCUGAUUUGGGCAAAACUCUGGUGUUCCCACUUUUCCUCACUUGGAGCUGUCUUUCUGCUUUUGAAAGACAC